rnacentral:rRNA from 1 species
AUUGAACGCUGGCGGCAGGCCUAACACAUGCAAGUCGAACGGUAGCACAGAGAGCUUGCUCUCGGGUGACGAGUGGCGGACGGGUGAGUAAUGUCUGGGAAACUGCCCGAUGGAGGGGGAUAACUACUGGAAACGGUAGCUAAUACCGCAUAACGUCGCAAGACCAAAGUGGGGGACCUUCGGGCCUCACACCAUCGGAUGUGCCCAGAUGGGAUUAGCUAGUAGGUGGGGUAAUGGCUCACCUAGGCGACGAUUCCUAGGUGGGCUGAGAGGAUGACCAGCCACGCUGGAACUGAGACACGGUCCAGACUCCUACGGGAGGGAGCAGUGGGGAAUAUUGAACAAUGGGCGCAAGCCUGAUGCAGCCAUGCCGCGUGUAUGAAGAAGGCCUUCGGGUUGUAAAGUACUUUCAGCGGGGAGGAAGGCGGUGAAGUUAAUAACUUCACCGAUUGACGUUACCCGCAGAAGAAGCACCGGCUAACUCCGUGCCAGCCGCCGCCGUAA